rnacentral:rRNA from 1 species
CGUAGGGUGCAAGCGUUAAUCGGAAUUACUGGGCGUAAAGCGUGCGCAGGCGGUUUUGUAAGUCUGUCGUGAAAUCCCCGGGCUCAACCUGGGAAUUGCGAUGGAGACUGCAAGGCUAGAAUCUGGCAGAGGGGGGGUAGAAUUCCACGUGUAGCAGUGAAAUGCGUAGAGAUGUGGAGGAACACCGAUGGCGAAGGCAGCCCCCUGGGUCAAGAUUGACGCUCAUGCACGAAAGCGUGGGGAGCAAACAGGAUUAGAUACCCUGGUAGUCCACGCCCUAAACGAUGUCUACUAGUUGUCGGGUUUUAAUUAACUUGGUAACGCAGCUAACGCGUGAAGUAGACCGCCUGGGGAGUACGGUCGCAAGAUUA